CCUACGGGUGGCAGCAGUAGAGAAUCUUUCACAAUGGGGGAACCCUGAAGCAGCAACGCCGCGUGGAGGAUGUGGGUGUUAGGAUUGUAAACUCCUUUUGCGAGAGAAGAUAAUGACGGUAUCUCACGAAUAAGCAACGGCUAACUCCGUGCCAGCAGCCGCGGUAAUACGGAGGGUGCAAGCGUUACUCGGAAUCACUGGGCGUAAAGAGUGCGCAGGCGGGCUGGUAAGUCAGAUGUGAAAUCCCCGCGCUAAACGGGGGAACUGCCUUUGAAACUGGCAAACUGGAGUGUGUGAGAGGAUAGUGGAAUUCCAGGUGUAGGAGUGAAAUCCGUAGAUAUCUGGGGGAAAAUCGGGGGCGAAGGCGACUAUCUGGCACAUAACUGACGCUGAGGAGCGAAAGCGUGGGUAGCAAACAGGAUUAGAUACCCAGUAGUC
rnacentral:rRNA from 1 species